UACGUAGGGGGCGAGCGUUGUCCGAAGUUACUGGGCGUAAAGCGCGCGUAGGCGGUCAUUUAAGUCUGAGGUGAAAGGUUCAGCGCUCAACGUGAACAGUGCCUUGGAUACUGGGUGACUUGAGUUCGGGAGGGGGCAGUGGAAUUCCCGGUGUAGCGGUGAAAUGCGUAGAUAUCGGGAGGAAUACCUAUGGCGAAAGCAGGCUACUGGACCGUCACUGACUCUGAUCUGCGAAAGCUAGGGGAGCAAACAGG
rnacentral:rRNA from 1 species